AGGCAUUUAAACAAGGUAUACAUCUGUUGCUAAGGAAGUAAUAACUUCUCCCAUUUCUAAAAAAAGCAAUGAUGUAUUAAGAGACAUUAAUAUGUUGUCAUUGAGAGCUUAAAGUCUAACUUUUUUUUCUUUAGAAAGAGAAAGAGAAGAUCAAGAAAAGCAGCAGAGGGAAGAGCAAGAAAAAACUGUAGAACACACUUCUGUAAAGGAAGCAGACAAAACCAGCCGUACAGGACGACGUCCGAGUCGAAGUGCCUUGUCCAGUCGUAAUGAUCGAAGAUCAGCCAAAAGUCCUCAAAAGACAGAUGCACCAAAGGAGAAUAAACAUCCAUUUGCUCUGUAUGGGUGGGGUGAAAGGCAGACAGAUACAGGAAGCCAGAAAACUCACAAUGUCUGUGCUUCUGCUUCAGCAAACGAAAUUCAUGAAUCUGCUCUGCGAGCAAAGAACAGGAGGCAAGUGGAGAAAAGGAAGCUUUCUCAGAGGCGAGUACGAUCAGCGGAAGCGGAGAAAGCUUGGCGAAUAAAGCCUUCCCCACCGGAUAACCCUUGGAUGACGGAAUAUAUGAGAUGCUACUCAGCAAGAGCUCGGUGAAUUUGGAUUCCCUUAGGCAUCUUCAGAAGAAGUUAUGCAUAUCAGGACACUGGUGCAAGGAACCAAACUAUUUAUGCAAGGUUUUUAUAGGGAGUUUCCAGCUGUUAAAAUAUUUGUUACAAUAUUUUUAUCUUGGCUACCUACCUCAGAGUGGGGUGUAUCGUUGGAGCCAUAACAUUUGAAGAGGCUUUUAGAUAUAGCUACCCAAACUUCUAAACAAUUCCCCUUGGGAAUUUUUCUAAUGCUUCAGUUGACUUUUGGGGGUGGGAGGGGGGAACCUUAGCAUACAGGGAGUCAAAGCAAACACUUUUUUGAUUGGUAACAAAUAAUCUGUUGUCCCUUAUUUUAAAAACCCAAGUCAUAGGGAGGUGGUGUUGGGGAAAGACUUGAAAGGUGUGAUGGAGGUGCCUUUGCAUUUAUAGUACUAUUUAAUUUAAUACUUCUACCAAAAUAAGUAUAUUGACAGGCAACAGGAGAGCCAGUGGGUCUGGUAAACAGCACUAAUAAAAUGUAGAUGCUUUAGGCA
rnacentral:lncRNA from 1 species